ensembl:miRNA gga-mir-1811 gga-mir-1811
GCUGACAUGGUUUAUUGCAGCGCUGGGUGCAUGGAGAUCUUCACUUAGCGUGCACCCAGCGCUGAAAUAACCAAUGUUGGC